CGGCAGUUUUGUAUGAUGUUACUUCUGAUGAACUGAAGACAUCAGAUAAAUCUGUGCUU
ensembl:miRNA gmo-mir-723-2 gmo-mir-723-2